rnacentral:rRNA from 1 species
CACGUGAGCAACUGCCUUGGCUCUGGGAUAGCCUCCGGAAACGGGGAUUAAUACCGGACAUGACCUUCUCCUGCAUGGGAGAAGGGGUGGAAAGUUUUUCGGCCAGGAGGGGCUCGCGGCCUAUCAGCUUGUUGGAGGGGUAACGGCCCACCAAGGCGACGACGGGUAGCCGGCCUGAGAGGGCGACCGGCCACACUGGGACUGAGACACGGCCCAGACUCCUACGGGAGGCAGCAGUGGGGAAUAUUGCACAAUGGGGGAAACCCUGAUGCAGCGACGCCGCGUGCGGGAUGAAGGCCUUCGGGUUGUAAACCGCUUUCAGCAGGGGCGAAUCCAGACGGUACCUGCAGAAGAAGCGCCGGCUAACUACGUGCCAGCAGCCGCGG